CUUCCCGCCCGGCUCCGCCCGGCCGCGGGGCGGCGCCGACGCGCUCUCCUCCGCGCGGCGCUGGAGGCCAUGGACGCUUCCCUGUGAGCGCGCUGCCGUGCGGGCACCCGCGGGUCCCUCUAUCAGAGCAGAGCCUGGUGUUCCUGAGGGACAGCACUGACACCCCCCCCACACACACAUACACACAGAGCCGGCAGGGGGGAGUUUUGGGGCGGCUGCUCGGUGCUGCGCAGCGAGUCACCCGGUUUGUGAGGCGAAGCCUCACACGGAGGCUGACGGGCUGAGUGGCUGUUGAGGAAAUCCAUCGUGUUUCAUCCUGUUUCAUCAGCAUGCCCCCGCCAGCCCCUGGCUGUGUGUGCACUCACACAAGAAAUGAGUACAGAAUAAGGAGGAAUGAAUUGCUUCUGUCUGUGUGCAAGAACGAGGAAGCAGCGAGGUACCAUGAGACACAUCCCUCACACAAUCAAGGAAUAAAUGGUUGCAGUUGUGGGGUGUUUCCUGCAAAGUGGAGAAGGCUGCUUGCUACCUGGUGCUGUCCCUACUCCCACUGCAUUUCAGGGAUAACAUAACCAGGGUGAGAAAAGAUUUCUGAAAACACUACAGCUGCUGAGAAUGGAAGCUGUUCUGAAAUGUUAAGAAAAGAAAGUCACAAAAGAUGGAGUCCACCUGGUUUCCUUGUGGUUCAGACAGACUGAAGAAAGACUGAAGACUGUAUCCCCUCAGAAAAGCAGUCCAGUGCAAAUUUAACCCCUCGAGCAGUGCCUGGUUUGUCUUCAGCUCCAGAGCAAGCAGAGGUAAGCAGCCAAGAGCAAGCACCCCACAGCGAAAAGGAGCAAGACAUUGCAGCCAAGCCUGGCAAAUGCAGCUCCUGCUAGAAUGGCUGGGUGGCCAAUGGCAUCUAGGGAAAAACAUGGCUCCAGCUGACCUCUGUGCUGGGCAGCUGAUGGGAGGGACUUUGUUCUGGUAGAAAAUACAUUGUGUUUCAAUCUGUCAGCGCUUGAGUCCCCCACUGCAGCACCUGAAUGGAGUUCUGAAAAAUAUUUUGUUACAGUUAUUUACUGUUACCUCUGGAAUAAGCAUUAUAAUGUAUCUAGCAGUGCUGAGAUCUUAUCAGCAUGACUAGAAGAAGAAAGAAGUGCAGUUUAAUUCCAGCCAAUGAAGUUUCAGCAGCAGUAAGUCAGGGACUGACUUCACUAAGACUACCCUAGAAGCACUUCAAGGCACUGUCUGUUCUUAGGCUGCACUAGAUCCCUCUGUGCACCCCAGCUUUGAAAGCCUCCUCAGGAACAGUGCAGAUUUGGGUGAUCCUCAUGUACAACCCUGAAUCCUUGUCAAGGCAAGAGAAGGUGGCUAGGAAUAUGCAAAUUUAAUUCAGCAUUAAUUCAGCUUCAGCAAUACCUAAGUCAAUGUCUUGCUAUUUAAGAAUGGUGUGUUAAGGGUAAAGGAAAUA